rnacentral:rRNA from 1 species
GGUGAACGCUGGCGGUAGGCCUAACACAUGCAAGUCGAACGGCAGCACAGUAAGAGCUUGCUCUUACGGGUGGCGAGUGGCGGACGGGUGAGGAAUACAUCGGAAUCUACUUUUUCGUGGGGGAUAACGUAGGGAAACUUACGCUAAUACCGCAUACGACCUACGGGUGAAAGCAGUGGAUCUUCGGACCUUUCGCGAUUGAAUGAGCCGAUGUCGGAUUAGCUAGUUGGCGGGGUAAAGGCCCACCAAGGCGACGAUCCGUAGCUGGUCUGAGAGGAUGAUCAGCCACACUGGAACUGAGACACGGUCCAGACUCCUACGGGAGGCAGCAGUGGGGAAUAUUGGACAAUGGGCGCAAGCCUGAUCCAGCCAUACCGCGUGGGUGAAGAAGGCCUUCGGGUUGUAAAGCCCUUUUGUUGGGAAAGAAAAGCAGCAGGUUAAUACCCCGCUGUUCUGACGGUACCCAAAGAAUAAGCACCGGCUAACUUCGUG